rnacentral:rRNA from 1 species
AUUGAACGCUGGCGGCAGGCCUAACACAUGCAAGUCGAACGGCAGCACAGAAGAGCUUGCUCUUUGGGUGGCGAGUGGCGGACGGGUGAGUAAUGUCUGGGAAACUGCCCGAUGGAGGGGGAUAACUACUGGAAACGGUAGCUAAUACCGCAUAACGUCGCAAGACCAAAGUGGGGGACCUUCGGGCCUCACACCAUCGGAUGUGCCCAGAUGGGAUUAGCUGGUAGGCGGGGUAACGGCCCACCUAGGCGACGAUCCCUAGCUGGUCUGAAAGGAAGACCAGCCACACGUGAACUGAGACACGGUCCAGACUCCUACGGGAGGCAGCAGUGGGGAAUAUUGCACAAUGGGCGCAAGCCUGAUGCAGCCAUGCCGCGUGUAUGAAGAAGGCCUUCGGGUUGUAAAGUACUUUCAGCGGGGAGGAAGGUGCUGAGGUUAAUAAGCUCAGCAAUUGACGUUACCCGCAGAAGAAGCACCGGCUAACUCCGUGCCAGCAGCCGCCGUAA